rnacentral:rRNA from 1 species
AUGGUGCAAUACGUCGACCUCUGGCGCCUGGUACGCCACCCACCGCUUUCCUCCACGCCGGACGUGCUCUCCUGGCGUUGGACUACUUCCGCCACAUACUCGGCGAGCUCCUGCUACAAGGCGCUUUUCUUUGGUGCUUGCGAAGAUCCCCACUGGCGGCUCACCUGGCGUCCAUGGGCGCCUCUUCGCGUCAGGUUCUUCCUUUGGCUUGCCAUGCAAGACCGCUGCUGGACCGCGGAGCGGCUCGCCCGCCACGGCUUACCACACGAGGACACGUGCGCACUCUGUGAUCAAGAGCUCGAGUCCAUGCAUCACCUCCUCGCGGCCUGUUCGUUCUCGCGUCAGAUUUGGCAUGAGAUCCUCGGUCUGGAAACACCGCAACGCGUGCAUCUUCGACCAAGCCACUCCCUCGCUCACCCUCAUCUCCGAAACCAUCAAAGAUGA